GUAAGAAUCACUGGUGAUCUUAUUAAACUAUAAAUUCUAAUUCAGAAGGUCUGGGUAGGGCCUGAGAGUCUACAUUUCCAAUAAGCUCCCAGGUGAUACCGAU
rnacentral:miRNA from 1 species